UUUCCGUAGGUGAACCUGCGGAAGGAUCAUUAAUGAGCAAAGUCCUUUGGGACUUUCUUUUCUACAACACCUGUGAAAAUCACUUUUUUGCUAUGGGAAUUUAAUUAUUCCGAACAAUCAUAAUCAACAAGCUGUCUUCUGACUGAUUGAUUAUUUAAAUAAUCACACUUUUCAACAAUGGAACUCUUUGAUCUCGCAACGAUGAUGAAUGAAGCCGAUUGGAAGAGCACAUGUUUGAACUCCCAUCAAUUAGUAAGACAUCGUAUGCCGACUUCACCC
rnacentral:misc_RNA from 1 species